CUCCUACAUUUAGUAGUAGCAAGUGAACUUCUGCAAUGGAUGCAACGGCACUGAUUUUGGUUCCUGAGAAACUAUCUGACGAGAGUUACAAACAGCUGCAGGAUUUUAUUAGUCUCAAAUUGGAAAAAGAGGAAGAGCGGCGAUCUCUUAAAUUCCAUCGCAAUUAUAAAGCAAAUAAUCGAACAUAUUUGCAGGUCACUUGCCCUGAAAGCGCUUACGAUAGAAUAGAGAGUGCAAUUCAUGAACGUUCGCUAUGGAAAAAUGUUGAUCUGCGAUGUAAUCUAAUACAAGAUGAAAGUAAAAUGUAUUUUGAUACAUUUGUCCGUUCAUUCAAUGAUGUUAAAAUUGUUAUUGAUCGUCUGAAACAACAAAAUCCUAAAAUCAACAUCCAAUUAUGGGUUUAUGUAAAAACAAUUAAAUACGAAAGUGAUUAUAAGUCAAUGCUAAUAUUUUCAGUUCCGAGAAAGGAUCUUCAAAAGAAAAUAACAUUUGAAAAUAAGUCCUUCUUAGUGACUCGAUGGAGAGAGAGAGAGAGAUGAUAGUAUGGCGUCGAUUUCAAGUAAUCAGCGGAGACCAUCGGCUGCUAACGACGAAUCGUUGGAAUACGAUUCGCGGAUGCAAGAUUCGAAUUCGGCUUUGAAUUUACCUUCGACUUCUUCUGGACAUCGGGCUCCGGCAACAAUAAAUACUAGUGCGAAACAUCAAGAAGAAGUGUCACAUUCAAGCACAAAACGCAAAAACUCUCUUCAGCCUUCUACUGGUCAAGAUCAGCUGAAAAAACGAAGCCGUAAGGAAGAUAAACCAAUGUCUUUGAGUGAAUCAAUUUCUGAAGUUAUACGAAUGUUGGAAGAAAUUAAAAGACGAUUGUAAGGCUCAAUUGGAGAUAAAGCUCAUGUUGAUUAAA